rnacentral:misc_RNA from 1 species
UCGGAUCGUUUUAGAAACAUCAGUGGCCAACAGAUCGCCAGAUCGUUGAGCUGCAUUGGCGGGAUUUCGCCGUCUUCGUUUCUCUUUCUUCGCGGACGAACACGCGCUGGGCCUGCAACGGCAGGAUCCAGGGUCCUUAACGGGAUGUGCGUUAGGGGCUUGUAGCUCAGUUGGUUAGAGCGCGCGCUUGAUAAGCGUGAGGUCGGAAGUUCAAGUCUUCCCAGGCCCACCACUUUCAUCGAGUGAGCAUUCGUCUUCUGGUUACGGGGCCAUAGCUCAGCUGGGAGAGCGCGUGCUUUGCAAGCAUGAGGUCGUCGGUUCGAUCCCGUCUGGCUCCACCAGAUGGUUUGAUCACCGAGAUCUUGACCGUCGUCCGCGAAACAUCACUUCGCAUCCUGCUAGUCUGGAUAGACAGCAGUUUGCGUGUUUUCUGACAUCGUAAAGAGGAGAUCGAUCCGAGUUGGGUCGUGCAGCAUAUCGUUGCGCGAGCCUUCAUUAUCUCCGGAUCAUUUCGGCGCUCGCUUCCAGCCGUGAGGUUGGAUGCGGGUUGUAAAUGAUCCUUUUAGCGAAGCUUGACCGCCUCGCUAUCGGAACGAUCUUACGAAGCAAGCUGGUCUUUCUAGUCAAUGUCCGGCUGCGGAUAGCGUUCAUCGAGGGCGCGUGCCGCAAGGCAAUUCUGCAGACAACAUUCUGCCGAGUGUGUGGACAUUGAUAAUGAGAGCAAUCAAGUGCCUUAAGGGUGUUCGGUGGAUGCCUUGGCGCUGAGAGGCGAUGAAGGACGUGCUACGCUGCGAUAAGCCGUGGGGAGCUGCGAAGAAGCUUUGAUCCGCGGAUUUCCGAUGG